AGUAGCUAUAGAUCGUAAAUGGAUUGAGCGUCGGGUUUGAGAUCGUGCGGACGCUUUCCAGUUCGGGGUCGUACAAGCCGCCGAAGGCGAUCGCUUUGAGAACCAGCAAAAAUGCUCCGACUCCAAGCAAUACCAAGUGAAUCCCCAGAAUCGUCGUCAUUUUGUUGCUAUCUUCCCA
rnacentral:antisense_RNA from 1 species